AACGUAGGAGACAAACGUUAUCCGGAGUUACUGGGCGUAAAGGGCGUGCAGGUGGUCUGUUAAGUCUGGCGUGAAAGCUCUCGGCUAAACCGGGAGAGGUCGUUGGAUACUGGCGGACUAGAGGACGGUAGAGGCGUGUGGAAUUCCGGGUGUAGCGGUGGAAUGCGUAGAGAUCCGGAAGAACACCGGUGGCCGAAGGCGGCUCUCUGGCCUGUAACUGACGUUGAGGCGCGAAAGCGUGGGGAGCAACAGGG
rnacentral:rRNA from 1 species